GUUUCUCAUGAAUUAAUAAAUAAAAUCUUAAAAAAAUAAGCUUAUAAAACUAAGAGAAAACUUGUUUGAACCCCUAGAGGAAAGUAUGAGGACAUCGAUUCAAGUAAUAAAUGAUCCAAAUGAAAAGAUAGAAGUUACUAAGAAAAGAACCAAAUGGAAAUUCUGGAAUUGAAAAAGAGACAGUAGCUAAAAUGAAAAAUUUACUAAAGGUGCUCAACAGCAGACAUGAGAUGGCAGAAGAAAGAAUAAGAAAACAUGAUGGUAAAUAAGUCAACAAAUUUAUCUGAAUAAAAGAAAGAAAAAAAAUAAAGAACAAAUCCUCAGAUACCUGUGAGGUAUCUAUCGCCAGGCAACCAGUGUAUGCAUAAUGGGAAUUCCAGAAAGAGAAGAGAGAUAUAAAUGACUUAAAAAAUUUGAAUAAUAAUGGCUGAUGUCUUCCCAUUUCAGAUUGAAAAAAAUUAAUUUUACAUGUGCUUAGUAAACGUUUGUCAGUCUCCUAAAUCUUAAAUGUAGAAUUACAAUACGGUCCAGCUAUUCCACUCCUAGGAAUCUACCCUAGAGAAGAUGUAUAUCCACACAAGGACUUUUAUUCAUUAUUCAUAAAAGCCUAUGAUGGCUAUGAUCCGGUAACCCUGAGUAAUGCAGGGCAAAGUUUCUACAUGAGGAUUUAUGUCUGACAAGCAAUGACCAUGGCAGGACUAUGAAGACGUUCCCUCCCAGCUCCCCACUCAGACCCGACUACUGGGGGACACGUCGGCGUUACCGAGAAAAACAAUCUGGAUGCUGGGGAAGUUGGAGCCAGUCUGGUAUUAAACAAAUAGACACAGAUAAUCUUCCCUAGUUACCAUCAAGCUUUCUCCCAGUGCUAAAGCUGAACCAACAGCUGUUGGAAGAAUCACAGGGAUUUUGGGAAUCCAACUAAAGAGAAAUUGAUUCAGAGAUAUAUUUGGUUAGAGGUCAGUAUUGUAUAUUGUACCAUUUGUAGUCACUUCCGUGCAGAGUUAAGUUAUUGCUAGUCAUACUAGUAUAGGAAAGUCUUCCAGGAAUAUUCUUAUCAUCUACUAUGCUGACCCAUCUUGCAUAGGACAUGAAAGCACAGGACUAGAAAAUCUCUGGUCCUACAACCGCAUCCUGUGGCUCUGGGCACUAUAAGGAGUGGGAGAAGAAAGGCUUAUAUAAUAUCCAGAGCCAGAUGCUAGUAUCUGGAAAAUUAUUAAUGAAGGUGUGUCAGAUAAAGAAUAAAAUAUUUUUGUGAAUAUUUUCUGCUUUUUUUGAUAUAUGUGAUUUUUUAUUCUGAAAUGAUUUUAUGUCAAUAAUUUUCUGUUGUUUUUUCUUAAAGAGAGAUCCCCCAAUUAUGUAAACUUCAUGUUCCCUAA